rnacentral:rRNA from 1 species
AACGUAGGUGGCGAGCGUUAUCCGGAUUUACUGGGCGUAAAGCGUGUGCAGGCGGCCUGUCAAGUGGUGUAUGAAAUAUCCAGGCUCAACCUGGAGGGGUUAUGCCAGACUGGCAGGCUAGAGUGCGAGAGAGGGGCGUGGAAUUCCGGGUGUAGUGGUGAAAUGCGUAGAUAUCUGGAGGAACACCGGUGGCGAAGGCGGCAUCCUGGACCGGCAUUGACGCUGAGGAGCGAAAGCCAGGGGAGCAAACGGG